UUGUCUCUGGUUUCUGUCAAUAAUACACAGUGAGUGCUGCUUGUCAUUUGUGUGCUUCGUUCGAUUGUUUGCUUUACUGUUUCCUAACGUUUUAUUUUGGACUCUUGAAGGAAUUAAAUUCAAAAUAAGCUAUUCUUAUUUUAGUGACCGACGUAUUAUUAGUUAACUUUGUCUGUGCAUUUGCGUUAAUUAGUUUUGCAUGUGUGUGCAGCGGUGCGAUUAUAAUAAUUUAUUUAAAAUAAAUAAAACGCUUUAAUAAAUUAAUGUUUUUGAAUAAUAUAGACAUUAAAACCGGGCUGUAGUGUAACAUAACAAUACGCAAAUGCCAAUUGAGGGUAGAGUUUCGAUGACAAAUUCAGUUGGGGUGUGUUUGAGAGCGCGGUGGGACUAUGUUGUUUCUCAGUGCCUUAGCGAUCGGUAUGAUAAGUGGGCUGCAGAAUGUCACGACGGAGGUGCCGGCGCCGAGCAGUGACGGCAGCGCGGUCUCGAGCCCGGAGCGGGCGGUGAGCGACAUGGGUCUGGUGGAGCCCACUCGGUUGCCGGGGCAGGCGACGGACCUGGUGAAUGUGAGUGUGCACGAGCGGCCCUCGAUGUGGGACAUGUACCUGAACCACUGCCCGCGCUGGCGACCGGUGAACCACGUGUUCUUCCAAGUGGCCAAUGUGUUUUUCCUGCUGUCGUUCCUGGCGCCGCACACGCCGAGCGGGCUGGUCUGGCUGCGGGUGGCCCUGAUGCUGGGGUGCGCCUUCUCCGGCAUGUGGGCGUGGAGCAUCGAGUGCUACCUCGACGCUGUGCUGUGGAACAGUGCAUUUAUUGUGAUAAACUUCAUUUACUUCUCCAUACAAUUUUAUUUGCUGCGCCCCAUCAAGUUCCACAAGGAUAUUGAGGAGGUUUACGUGGCGUUGUUCAAGCCUCUCCGUGUGUCGAGAAGGCAGUUCCGUCGCGUUCUCAUGUGUAUGCGCAACGUUAGGCACUUGAAGUGCCACGAACUGUAUGCGCACGAGAAGGUCACUAAAGUCGACAGCUUGUCUCUGGUGCUGUCUGGCAAACUAGUGGUGUCACAGAACCAGAGAGCGCUACACAUAGUGUUCCCUCAUCACUUCCUCGACUCGCCAGAAUGGUUUGGCGUGUCCACAGACGAGUUCUUUCAGGUGUCGAUAAUGGCGAUGGAAGAGUCCAGAGUGCUGGUGUGGCACCGAGACAAGCUGAAGCUCUCCAUCAUGUCAGACGCCUUCCUUCAGGCCGUGUUCGACCACAUACUGGGUCGGGAUGUUGUUCAUAAACUUAUGCAGGUGAGCGAAACAAUGGCGGUGUCGAACGGACAUCUGCCGAACAGCUAUGAGGAAGGCGAGGAUAAGCCAAUGCUGGUCGUCAAGAAAGCGGGAGACGGGCCCGGCAUCACCGCUUUGCUUAACCGACAGCUGCAAGCGGGUCGAGAUUGCUAUGCGUGCUAGGCCGUGGGUCGUGUGCGUAACGUUGUGUUGUUGUGCGUGUCGAUGACUGCGGAGCCGCGCAGCGCCGCCUGCGCCACGCCACGGACGACGAGCUUGCUCCCUGCCCAUCCUACAUAUUCUUCACGAUUAUUACUACGUUGCGAAAGUUCUUUCGAUUGAUUUUUGAUUUUAUUUCAAUGAAGACAAUGUUGAAAAAAAAGCUUGACAGUAAAUAAUGCUACAGCUGGUUAAAUAUAAAUUGAAAACUUCUUGUUUUACGUUUAAUGUAUAUAAAUCAAUUCAGAAUUUAAAACAAACAAAAAAAAAAAAACAAUUUUUCAAUGAAAAAAAAAACUAUUUGGCGAUGUUUAAAUUUUUUAUACGAUAUUAUUAAAAUAUGAUCGUGAAGCGUAAAACAAUCCUUUCCCGUUAGUCCUCUCACUACCAUACAACAAGCUUAUUCAUAUAUCCAUACAAACUUCUAGGCCCAAAGUUCACCGACAAAAUAACAUCUUCAAAUAAAAACAUUUUCAAGUUUCGUAGUAAACUGUUGUUUUAAGAAAAAAAAAAUACGUUUAUUUUGUCGAUGAACUCGGGCCUAAAUGAGAAGUGAUGAAAAAUGUUUGGUCAAUUGCGUAAUUUGCUAAAUUUCUCAGGAAAUGAGCCAAGAAAACUUUCCAUUCUUAGAGCGUUAUAACUUACUGGCUUUAAUAUUUUUUUUUACAACCGCCCUGUGUUUUAAGUUAUGAAUCUUACUAAACUUAAAAAAUUACUUAUUUGUUCCAUUUUCAUCAUCACUUCUCAUUUUAAUACUUAAUAUAAAAAACCGUAUUGUAUCAUUACAUCACAAUACUUAUCACAAUCCAUGUCUCCAUAAAUAUCUUAUAUUCACAAUAUAUCAAAUUUAAGUAUUUUAUAUUAUGGUAAGGCGCGUGGUGGCUUUUAAGAGCUUAUUUAUCAUAAAAUUAUGUAUUAAAUACAUUAUAUUUCUAUAUCAAGGGCCGAGUUUACAAUCGCUCUAUUGAACUUAUGUUUGAAAAAGUAAAAUUAAUGUCAGUCUGACAGAUUUUGUGAAGAAAUUAUGUCAAACUCUAAUUUUAAUUUGAUUUUUUAAAGUUGGUAGACUAUUGAAAAAAUCGGCCCUAAGUCAGGGUAAGUGUCCAAUAAGGUUGGGUAGUUAUUAAUAAAAUUAGUUGUAGUAUAUUUUGAUAUUAAUUUUUUGGCAUAAGCUAAGCUCUCUCUAAAUUAAUUAAAUGGUGGACACAUAUUCUGGCACAAAAUUAUAUGUAAUUAUUUUAUCAUUGAAAACAUCACUGCAUACAUAUCUAAAAACAUUUGAAGUAUGUUUUCACUAUUAUAUUGCCCUUUGAUCAUUAAUAUUAGCUUCAUAUCAUAAAGAAGUAUUAAAACCAUAAGUAUUUGUAUUCGCAAGUUGUAGCCCUGUGUCUGAGUAUUAAGUGUGUACCUAGUCUUAUUAAUGCUCUCAUAUAACUUACAAAUGUAUUAUUAUGAUAUUGAUGGUGCAUGUGAUUUAAUGGUCAGGAUGAGUAAACAGUAGUUUUGCGUUCUUUUCUAGCCUUAUUAUUUUGAAGCUUAAAACCGGGUGACGGACUCAGGUUUUUUUAUCCAUCCGGGAACGGGAAGUAGUCCCCUCGAGGCGCGAGUCGAAGGUCGAAUCUUGGGUUAAAAAUAUAAAACUGUCAUUUUCUGUAGAUCAAACCACUUGAAAUCUAUGUGGAUAUUCAAAAGAUGGAUUUGUGGAUGUUAAAAAGUUUCCAGUUUACCUGUUUGCCCAUCCUGACCUAACUGUAUGCUUUAAUAAUAGUUGUUACCUUAACCCGCUAAGUAUAUUUAGUAUACGUAAGUUAUAUUUAGUUCUGUAAGCAGUAUCACUCCCGUAGUCCCAUCCUUUGUCCGAACUCCCAAAGCAUGUUUGGAAGAUCGACUGUUGAAGCGACGGACCCGAACGCGUGGCGGCUGGGGCGGAUAGAGGAGGCGGAGCACGAGACGCCCGUGUGAGGCCGCGCCCUGCACGUCGCCGUGCGCGCGCAGCACAAGCGCGCGCGGCGGUAGACGUGCGUCACGUGCUGUUGGACUGAGUGACAGGUGACGUGGCUACUCCCGCGCUCCGCAUAUGAAUACCCGUGACUCGAUACCAUCGGUGUGAUGCGUUCCAUUCAAUAGUUGAUUAUGUCGACUCGGAUACUUUCACUUACGAAUUAUAUCGAAUAAUUCGAUUUUAGUGAUAAGUUUACACUUUAAAGUUAAAGAUUUCUUGGAGCCAUUGUGAACUUAAUGAAUCGAUUAUAAUGUUAGUCGAUAAAAAUACCUAGUCAGUAAAUUGAAGUGGUUGAAUAAAAUCUUUACCUCUACAUUAUCGUUUAUGCAUAAUAAAUUAAUCGACUAAUUCGACUAUUAAAUUGAACGAAAUGUGAUUUGUUCAACUUUUUACAUGCCAGGGAAACAUCGUUACUUUGAUCUUAAUAUUGAAAUAUAAUGACAAAGUUUCCAACGAUGGGUCUCUGCCAUGUAAACAAUGAUUAUUUAAAGUAUAUCUUACAAACGAUCUGAAACGAAAUAGCACAUUGAAAAAAGACUAGAAUCAUUAUUUUGUGUAUACUAUUUAUGUAGAUAGAUUAUAACUAAAUAUUGAAUCGAUAUGACGUCGUAUUGUCCCCAAUAAAGUAAAUAAACGAGAGGUUAUAUUUAAAUAAAUGUUUUGUGUAAAUACAUUAUAAUAUGAUAUGAUGAUGAUAUUGUAUAGAGAUUGAGAAAUUGUGUGUACAAAAUAUGUAUUCUACUCGAUUCGUAGUGGCCAUGUUGUGGAAACAGAGUUUAUACUUACAGCCUUCUAAAUCUCACAGUUUUAUCAACUUUGUAGUAGUUUCCAAGCUUAAACAUAUCUAUAGGCUACUUAUCUAUUAGGCUAUAUGUAUGUAUGUAAUUUUACUGUAGGUGAUUUUUGUUUAUUUAUUUUCAAUAGAGAUAUAACGUAAGAGUUUAUCUGGCAGCUGAUAUAAGUGCAGGUCACCGAUAUCAAGUUAACAUGUGCAAAAAAAUGCAUAAUUAUAGAGUUAUUUGAUAAUUUGUAUUUUUCACAUAAAUUACCCAACAGCUGAGUAUAAACUUGCCAUCAAGUUCUGUUUCAUUAGAUUGUAAUCCUAAAAUACACCUAAAGUAUGAAUGCUAUAAAACUGUGAUUUUUUCAAGGGAAUGAUACUGCAACGAUUCCUCUCAUAAUGACUUCUAUCCCUGUAAAACACCACAAGUUAUCUUUUGACGAUAUAAGCCACAUAAUAAAAAUGUACCUGAUAAUCAUUUGUUGUGAAGAAACUUGUCGAGUGGACAAUAAGAGUUUAAAGCCGCUGGAAGCGCUGCACUGACCUUAAAAUAGUUUGAUUAUAUUAUAUCAAAUAAUAAAUUAGUAUUUAGCAUAUGCAGCGAAAACAGCGGCUUUAAAACGAAACUAUCAUUGAUCUUUGUAAGUCACAAAUUAAACAAGCAGGCCUUAAAUAAUUGCAAUAGAAUGUUACCAUAGAGUUGCAAAACUGACUAAGAAUUGAUGUCAUUUUCAAUCUUAUUUCUAUAAGAAUAAGGUCGAAAAUAUUUUAAACCGGUUGUAGCGUUUAGCAGUUUUGCUCAUAAAGUGUAUCUUGAUCACGAAAUAGGGAAUGACCACAUUAAACUGAAAUAUUGACCUGAUUAUAAUAUUGUUGUACAAAUUGUUGGUGGUUAUCGAACAAUGCACACUCAAGAUGUCUGGACACAUCAAUUAGUCGUUAAUUAUUAUUUCCUAAAGCAAUAAGUACAGUUUUAGAAAUACUGAUUGGCUGUGUCUGGCAAGUUGACGUACUGAAACGUUCAAAAAAAGGCACUACGAAUUAUGUUUCAGACUUUUUGAUUACUCACCUGAGUAAACAAAUUACUGCACGUAAAUUAGAAUUAAACACCUUUUUUAACGAGACUUCUACAGCACAAUACCUAUUAUAAAUAAGCAAAUUUUAAUUUUCUUCAACAAUAAGUUUUUCUCGGUUUCAUAAUGUCAACUUGCGACCGGCGAUAGUCGCUCGCAAUACCAUUGCAAUCGAAACUAAUCGCUCGUUACUUUCGUUUUGUUAUCGUCACAACUGUGCAAUUUAAGUUAGGUAAUCAUUUAGCCAUUGAUAGCAACGAAAAUGUUUUAUUUUUUACUUUAUUUUAUUUCCGUGAUGUCUUCCCAAUAUAAUUUUAAUUGUUAAAUGACGAUAAAUAGGAUUCUGUUUCGACAAUAUUGUAAGUGACUGAUCGCCUUCAGACGUAGCAAUAUAAAGGUGCCCUAUUCUUGUAAAUGCGUGUGAAAAACUUGGAUGUAAAAUGCGGCAGCAGUAUGAUUGUGUAUAGUGAUGUAUAAACAUUCCAAAAUUAUCAUUUUUGGCUAUUGGAAUUAUUGUUAAAAGUAUAUUUAAGGGUCAGAAGCACUGCCAAUGCAAUUUGAUUGCUUGUUUUGCGGUCACUGCAUUAUAUUUUGUAAUUAAGGAUCUCAUUUUGUUUUGUAUAACGAUUUUGAUUUGUCUUGAUAAAUGAGGAGCACUUUUUAAGUUUUUUCAAAUGUGGACAAACCACUUUGUAAUGUAUGUUUCAGGACAAAUGUGAUUGUUCACAUACUUGCCUUGUGUCUGUGUAAGAGCACCCGGUGUGUUAGUAUGCCUUAUUGAAUUGCUGUUUGUGAUGAUUGUAAAUUAUGAAUGUGUUGUAUGAUUAAUUGUAUUGAAUCAUCUUAGUACAUGUUGAGACAAAUAGAGAUUAAAGAAAUAAAGUAACAAAUUGUGUAAAAAAA